rnacentral:rRNA from 3 species
UACGAAGGGUGCAAGCGUUAAUCGGAAUUACUGGGCGUAAAGCGCGCGUAGGUGGUUCAGCAAGUUGGAUGUGAAAGCCCUGGGCUCAACCUGGGAACUGCAUCCAAAACUACUGAGCUAGAGUACGGUAGAGGGUAGUGGAAUUUCCUGUGUAGCGGUGAAAUGCGUAGAUAUAGGAAGGAACACCAGUGGCGAAGGCGACUACCUGGACUGAUACUGACACUGAGGUGCGAAAGCGUGGGGAGCAAACAGG